rnacentral:rRNA from 1 species
AGUGAACGCUGGCGGUAGGCCUAACACAUGCAAGUCGAACGGCAGCACAGUAAGAGCUUGCUCUUACGGGUGGCGAGUGGCGGACGGGUGAGGAAUACAUCGGAAUCUACUUUUUCGUGGGGGAUAACGUAGGGAAACUUACGCUAAUACCGCAUACGACCUACGGGUGAAAGCAGGGGAUCUUCGGACCUUGCGCGAUUGAAUGAGCCGAUGUCGGAUUAGCUAGUUGGCGGGGUAAAGGCCCACCAAGGCGACGAUCCGUAGCUGGUCUGAGAGGAUGGUCAGCCACCCUGGAACUGAGACACGGUCCAGACUCCUACGGGAGGCAGCAGUGGGGAAUAUGGGACAAUGGGCGCAAGCCUGAUCCAGCCAUACCGCGUGGGUGAAGAAGGCCUUCGGGUUGUAAAGCCCUUUUGUUGGGAAAGAAAAGCAGCAGGUUAAUACCCCGCUGUUCUGACGGUACCCAAAGAAUAAGCACCGGCUAACUUCGUG